UAUGACCACAGAUUGAAAAAUAUACCGCAUCCCAUUAGCUCUGCGAAGUCAAGCUUCAAGACGCUCGGUAAGUACCAAAGUCGGGGACGAUUUGGGAACCCCGAAUGUUGUAAAU